AUAGAUGGAAAGCAGGCGCUGCCCUCACCGACCUGGCCUCGGUAGCAGGAGUGUGUUUUUGUGUGGACAACUGCAGUUGGGCCCAGGUCCAGCCUUGCUGACGGCUACUCACUUGGGCCUCCACCCACUGAUGAAUUUUGGGGGCAGAGCCAAGCCCCAAGAUAUGUUGGCUGGCAGCCUGGGGCCAGGCAGGGCUGCUGUUGUGGGAGCCCAGUCCCAGGGACUCUGUUCAGAGUGGAGCCUCCUUACUCUACAGCUCGCUGGUAAGCCCUGGUGGCCCAUCAGCCCACAGAAGGGGGCACUCACUCAGUGUGCAUCGGGCAGCGGCCAGCAACCUGCCUCUCACCCACCUGGCCCUUCUGGGAGGACCGGGACUUCCUGGGGUCAGAUUGGAAUGUACGUCCAAAAUAAGAGUGAAUGGGGAUUUGCUGAUUAUUAAAACAAUUUUGUUUGCGUGCA
ensembl:lncRNA MIR365BHG MIR365B and MIR4725 host gene